rnacentral:rRNA from 1 species
GGACUACCCGGGUUUCUAAUCCUGUUUGCUCCCCACGCUCUCGCGCCUCAGUGUCAGUGUUAGUCCAGGUAGCCGCCUUCGCCACUGGUGUUCCUUCCGAUAUCUACGCAUUUCACCGCUACACCGGAAAUUCCACUACCCUCUACCACACUCUAGUUAUCCAGUAUUAAAUGCAGUUCCUAGGUUAAGCCCAGGGAUUUCACAUCUAACUUAAAUAACAACCUACGCGCCCUUUACGCCCAGUAAUUCCGAUUAACGCUUGCACCCUCUGUAUUACCGCGGCUGCUGGCAC